rnacentral:rRNA from 1 species
AUGAACGCUGGCGGCGUGCCUAAUCCCUGCAAGUCGAGCGAACAGACGAGGAGCUUGCUCCUCUGACGUUAGCGGCGGACGGGUGAGUAACACGUGGAUAACCUACCUAUAAGACUGGGAUAACUUCGGGAAACCGGAGCUAAUACCGGAUAAUAUAUUUAACCGCAUGGUUCAAUAGUGAAAGACGGUUUUGCUGUCACUUAUAGAUGGAUCCGCGCCGCAUUAGCUAGUUGGUAAGGUAACGGCUUACCAAGGCAACGAUGCGUAGCCGACCUGAGAGGGUGAUCGGCCACACUGGAACUGAGACACGGUCCAGACUCCUACGGGAGGCAGCAGUAGGGAAUCUUCCGCAAUGGGCGAAAGCUUGACGGAGCAACGCCGCGUGAGUGAUGAAGGUCUUCGGAUCGUAAAACUCUGUUAUUAGGGAAGAACAAAUGUGUAAGUAACUAUGCACGUCUUGACGGUACCUAAUCAGAAAGCCACGGCUAACUACGUG